rnacentral:rRNA from 1 species
GGACUACAGGGGUAUCUAAUCCUGUUUGCUCCCCACGCUGUCGCGCCUCAGUGUCAGUCACUGCCCAGCUGGCCGCCUUCGCCACCGGUCUUCUGCCGGAUCUCUACGCAUUCCACCGCUACACCCGGCAUUCUACCAGCCCCUACAGUACUCGAGUCUCGCAGUCUCCGCGGCAGACCCGGGGUUGAGCCCCGGGCUUUCACCACAGACUUACGACACCACCUACGCGCCCUUUACGCCCAGUGAUUCCGGACAACGCUUGCACCCCCCGUAUUACCGCGGCUGCUGGCAC